AUGGGAUUAAGCUAGUGUUGAGUUUGGUGAACAAUUAUGAGAGCUUUGGAGGGAAAAAGCAGUACGUGAACUGGGCAAGGAGUGAGGGGCAGUCUAUAUCAUCUGAUGAUGAUUUCUUUGCAAACUCUGUAGUCAAAGGCUACUACAAAAAUCAUAUCAAGACUGUUCUUACAAGGGGUAAUACAAUCACCGGAGUUUCUUACAAAGAUGAACCGACGAUUAUGGCUUGGGAGCUUAUGAAUGAACCCAGGUGCACCUCAGAUCCGUCAGGACGAACCAUUCAGGCUUGGAUCACAGAGAUGGCUUCUUACUUGAAAUCCAU
rnacentral:misc_RNA from 1 species